rnacentral:lncRNA from 1 species
AUAAUGUUACGUAAAAAUGUUGAUUACUAAAAUAUAAUGCACGUAGAAGCGGUGCUACUUGUGAAGUAAUGUGAAAAUUACAAAAA